UGCAUUCGAUACUGGUUGGCUAGAGUAUGGGAGAGGAUGGUAGAAUUCCAGGUGUAGCGGUGAAAUGCGUAGAGAUCUGGAGGAAUACCGAUGGCGAAGGCAGCCAUCUGGCCUAAUACUGACGCUGAGGUACGAAAGCAUGGGGAGCAAACAGGAUUAGAUACCCUGGUAGUCCAUGCCGUAAACGAUGUCUACUAGCCGUUGGGGCCCUUGAGGCUUUAGUGGCGCAGCUAACGCGAUAAGUAGACCGCCUGGGGAGUACGGUCGCAAGACUAAAACUCAAAUGAAUUGACGGGGGCCCGCACAAGCGGUGGAGCAUGUGGUUUAAUUCGAUGCAACGCGAAGAACCUUACCUGGCCUUGACAUACAGAGAACUUUCCAGAGAUGGAUUGGUGCCUUCGGGAACUCUGAUACAGGUGCUGCAUGGCUGUCGUCAGCUCGUGUCGUGAGAUGUUGGGUUAAGUCCCGCAACGAGCGCAACCCUUUUCCUUAUUUGCCAGCACUUCGGGUGGGAACUUUAAGGAUACUGCCAGUGACAAACUGGAGGAAGGCGGGGACGACGUCAAGUCAUCAUGGCCCUUACGGCCAGGGCUACACACGUGCUACAAUGGUCGGUACAAAGGGUUGCUACACAGCGAUGUGAUGCUAAUCUCAAAAAGCCGAUCGUAGUCCGGAUUGGAGUCUGCAACUCGACUCCAUGAAGUC
rnacentral:rRNA from 1 species